CGCAGGAAGGGAGCAGGGAAGGAUGCAAGGUAACUGUCUCCCUGGCUGUGCCGUCCUUCCAGGGUCUCUAAUCUAUGGAGGAGAAAGGGAGCAGGAAAAAGACGAAGGGCCAUCUUCAGGCUCGGCCUGAGCCACAGGCCUAGGACUCUGGAAAAAGGACCUUUGCUUGGAAUGUCCCAGCGCCCUAAGAACAGCAGCAGCACCGGAUGUAGUCUCUGCUUCCGGUUGUCAUCAGCCAAUGAGAGAAGGUUAAAGAGAACACUAGCGUUUUCCCACAGGAGAAUGCGAGUGCCCAGCAGCAAGGCAGCUGCUGUCCCCAGACCGGUUUCUGUCCAUGGGCGGCUGACACUCGCGGGGUGCUGGGCAUCCGCCUCACUGACGCCAUCUCGUGUCAUUACUGGAACACCACUGUGGGACACUACCGGCAGGGGAAAUCUGGGGCUCCCAACGGUGAAGCCCCUUCUCCCGCGUCUCUGGAGGAC
rnacentral:lncRNA from 1 species